rnacentral:rRNA from 1 species
CACCGCCCGUCACAUCACGAAAGUGGGUUGUACUAGAAAGUCACCGCGCUAACCGCAAGGAGGCAGGUGCCCAAGGUAUGACUCAUGAUUGGGUG